GCAGCCUGGAUCCUGGGUCUGUGCUGAAGAUGGAUCUACUGUUUCCACUGAAUUUUGCCUAAAGCAAAGCUGGAGGCAACUUUGGAGGGCCCUGCUCAGUGGUGCCGCUGCGACAAGAUGGAUGCUCGGCAGGAGCCUGUGUGUUUGCAAAAGUAUUAAACUAUAAAGCAAUAUAUUGGACUUCAGCAGUGCAUACUUUAUUUUUGAGUAAGUCCUGAUGUAUAUAGCCUGAAUAAGGAAAUACUGUAAAAGCCUUGAGAAGUA